GACGAACGCUGGCGGCGUGCUUAACACAUGCAAGUCGAACGGAAAGGCCCUGCUGUUGUUGGGUGCUCGAGUGGCGAACGGGUGAGUCACACGUGAGUAACCUGUCCUUGACUGUGGGAUAACUUCAGGAAACUGGGGCUAAUACCGGAUAUGAGCUCCUGCUGCAUGGUGUGGGUUGGAUAGUUUCGGCGGUUGGGGAUGGACUCGCGGCUUAUCAGCUUGUUGGUGGGGUAGUGGCUUACCAAGUCUUUGACGGGUAGCCGGCCUGAGAGGGUGACCGGCCAAAUGGGGACUGAGAUCAGGCCCAGCGUCCUCCGGGAGGCAGCAGGGGGGAAUAUUGCACAAUGGGCGGAAGCCUAAUGCAGAAACGCCGCGUGCGGGAUGACGGCCUUCGGGUUGUAACCCGCUUUCGCAUGUGACGAAGCGGGAGUGACGGUAAUGGGUAAAGAAGCACCGGCUAACUACGUG
rnacentral:rRNA from 1 species